CGGAGGUACUCGAGUGGCGAACGGGUGAGUAACACGUGGGUGAUCUGCCCUGCACUCUGGGAUAAGCCUGGGAAACUGGGUCUAAUACCGGAUAGGACCAUGCUUUAGUGUGUGUGGUGGAAAGUUUUUCGGUGUAGGAUGAGCCCGCGGCCUAUCAGCUUGUUGGUGGGGUAAUGGCCUACCAAGGCGGCGACGGGUAGCCGGACUGAGAGGUUGGUCGGCCACAUUGGGACUGAGAUACGGCCCAG
rnacentral:rRNA from 1 species